rnacentral:piRNA from 1 species
AGAACACUGUAGGUAAGGGAGUACAGA